GCCGCGGUGGUGGAACUGGCAGACACGCCAUCUUGAGGGGGUGGUGGGAGAAAUCCUGUGAGAGUUCGAGUCUCUCCCGCGGCACCA
rnacentral:tRNA from 1 species